UCCGAGUUGUCCCCGGCAGUCCUUCUAGAGUCCCCGGCAUUACCCGCUGGCAACUAAAAGCAGGGGUUGCGCUCGUUGCGGCACUUAAGCCAACACCUCACGACACGAGCUGACGACAGCCAUGCACCACCUGCGCACCAACCACAAGGGAAGCCCCAUCUCUGGGGAUGUCUAGCGCAUGUCAAGCCCAGGUAAGGUUCUUCGCGUUGCAUCGAAUUAAACCACACGCUCCGCUGCUUGUGCGGGGACCCGUCAAUUCCUUUGAGUUUUAGCCUUGCGGCCGUACUCCCCAGGCGGGACACUUAACGCGUUAACUGCGGCACAGAGGGAUUCGACUCCCCCCACACCUAGUGUCCAUCGUUUACGGCUAGGACUAC
rnacentral:misc_RNA from 1 species